rnacentral:rRNA from 1 species
AGUCCAGACUCCUACGGGAGGCAGCAGUGGGGGAUAUUGCACAAUGGAGGAAACUCUGAUGCAGCGACGCCGCGUGAGGGAAGACGGUCUUCGGAUUGUAAACCUCUGUCUUUGGGGAAGAAAAUGACGGUACCCAAAGAGGAAGCCCCGGCUAACUACGUGCCAGCAGCCGCGGUAAUACGUAGGGGGCAAGCGUUAUCCGGAUUUACUGGGUGUAAAGGGGGCGCAGACGGCAGCGCAAGCCAGGAGUGAAAGCCCGGGGCCCAACCCCGGGACUGCUCUUGGAACUGCGCGGCUGGAGUGCAGGAGGGGCAGGCGGAAUUCCUAGUGUAGCGGUGAAAUGCGUAGAUAUUAGGAGGAACACCAGUGGCGAAGGCGGUCUGCUGGACAGCAACUGACGCUGAGGCGCGAAAGCGUGGGGAGCAAACAGGAUUAGAUACCCGUGUA